rfam:Aedes aegypti strain Liverpool supercont1.305 genomic scaffold, whole genome shotgun sequence.
UGCCCAGCAACUCCUAUCCCUACCUCCUAGCGGUACUGUCCGGGGUACGAGUAACCUUAGGGAAGAUCGGGAACUUUGGUCGUAUGCUGACAGGGAAGG